UAAAUUUAUCGAUAUGCCUAA
rnacentral:siRNA from 1 species